rnacentral:rRNA from 1 species
CGAUGAAGCUGGAGCUUGCUCCGGUGGAUUAGUGGCGAACGGGUGAGUAACACGUGAGCAAUCUGCCCUUGACUCUGGGAUAACUGCGGGAAACUGUAGCUAAUACCGGAUACGAGGCUCGAAGGCAUCUUCGGGUCUGGAAAGAAUUUCGGUCAAGGAUGAGCUCGCGGCCUAUCAGCUUGUUGGUGAGGUAAUGGCUCACCAAGGCGACGACGGGUAGCCGGCCUGAGAGGGUGACCGGCCACACUGGGACUGAGACACGGCCCAGACUCCUACGGGAGGCAGCAGUGGGGAAUAUUGCACAAUGGGCGAAAGCCUGAUGCAGCAACGCCGCGUGAGGGAUGAAGGCCUUCGGGUUGUAAACCUCUUUUAGCAGGGAAGAAGCGAAAGUGACGGUACCUGCAGAAAAAGCACCGGCUAACUGCGUGCCAGCAGCCGCGGUAAUACGUAGGGUGCAAGCGUUGUCCGGAAUUAUUGGGCGUAAAGAGCUCGUAGGCGGUUUGUCGCGUCUGCUGUGAAAACCUGAGGCUCAACCUCAGACCUGCAGUGGGUACGGGCAAGCUAGAGUGCGGUAGGGGAGAUGGGAAUUCCUGGUGUAGCGGUGGAAUGCGCAGAUAUCAGGAGGAACACCGAUGGCGAAGGCACAUCUCUGGGCCGUAACUGACGCUGAGGAGCGAAA